UCAGGAGCUGGAGAAGUGAAACUGGGGACCUGGGGAUCCCCAGCCCUGGGCUCCCACCCCAGACCUCACUGCCUGGGGACUGAGAUUUUGCUGAACCCUGUGCUGCGGGACGGAGCGAUGUUUGUCGUGGUGUCUCUGAGCCGCCUAAGGACAACUGUCUCCUCAGGGAUGAAACCUCAAAUCCCCAGUGUGUACCUCUGCCAUGAGAAUUACCUCUGCCCGGUGUCCACAGUGCACAGGCCUGAGAAACUCAGAAGCCAACUGUUAUCAGACCCAGGGCUCCACAGGCCUGUGACAUUCAUCUCCCUCAUCUCAUCGGCUCAUAAAGUGUGAGUGAAGAUUGUAGCUAGUCUUUCUCUGUCCCGCCAGCCUGCUCCCAAACCAGACAUGGAGACUUAUUAAUUAUGAAAGCUCACUUGAUAGCUUAGGCUUGUUUCUAAUUAAUUCUUAUAACUUAAAUUCACUCAUAUGUUUUAAUCUACAUUCCUUUUCCUGGCUUGGUUACUUUUACCUUGUAAAGCCCAUGAAUGCUGCUUGCUCUGUGUCUCUAGCUUCUCCUAUAUGUUAUGCUUCCUCAACGUCUCCUGGUGACUCUACCCUUCUUCCCAGAGUCCUCUGUACCUGGAAAUCCUGCCUAGCUAUUGGCUGUUCAGCUUUUUAUUAAACAAAUGAAAGUGACGUUUCUUCACAGUGUAUGAAAAGAUUAUUGCACAACAUUCCCCCCUUUUGUCUAAAUGAAGAGGAAAGAUUUUAACUCUAAGGAUGGAAUAUGCAUACAGUAAGACCAAUUACCAAGUAAGAAAUACACUUACAAUGUCCGUUCCAUUGAUAUUUGGCAAAUUUAUAUGAAAACAUUCCAUUAUCUGUCCUCUCUUGAUGAAUCCAAACUUUUGUACCUAAUUUACUUUCUAUCAUGACUAAGGGAAACUGUAACUAUAACUAUCUAGUCUUCAACUCCAUCAGAGACCUGAGAAGGAUAUAAUAUCACCUGAGUAAACAGGAAGUGCUGAGCAAGCAACUUCCAAAACUAUGAAAUGACAGAGACAUCUGGCUGCCUGGUCAGUCACCCCAGGGUUCUUCUGUAAUGCUAGGACAUCCAUCUUCAGCCUGCAGGCCCAGAUUAUCUGACAGACUUUUCUGUGAAGCAGGAAUUUUUGAAGGACUGUCCACCUUGUCUUGGCAAAGUUCAACAAUCUUUUCCUUUGUGUCCUGCUUGUCCAGUUUGUACAGCACACUGUCAGUAGUUAAGACAAGAGCAGUUUCUUGCCCAAAUGGCUGUUCUUGCUCUAGGUGGAAGUUUCUGUGUCCAGCCAACAACUCAAAUACCAGGCAGCUGCUUUCAAAUAAUUGACGUAGGGGCUUAAUAUUACUUAUGAAUUCUUGGCCAAUAGAUCAGGCUUAGUUCUAACUAGCUCUUACAUUUAAAUUAACCCAUAAUUCUUAUCUAUAUUUAGCCAUGUGGCUUGGCACCUUUUCUCAGUACAACAUUCUCAUCUUGCUUCUUCUGCAUCUGGCUGGUGAGUCCUUGACUCCACCCUUCCUCUUCCCAGAAUUCUCCUAGUCAGCCCACCCUGCUUAUACUUACUGCCUGGCUGCUGGCCAAUCAGCAUUUAAUCAAACCAAUCAAUUAACAAAUCUUUACAGUGUACCAGAGCAUUAUCCUACAGCUCUUGCCACCUUGAAAGCAAACUCUACAUGGAGUUUCUUCGAUACCCAUCAUCUUCUCUGAAGUAAAUUUGUUCUGCCAGGAGCAGAUGUGUCUCAUCAUGAAAAGCGUUAUGUUAUUAUAACAUUUUAAAUGUCAUAUUCUGUAGGUCUUUGAAGUGUUUGAAGAUCACUAUCUAUCUAAAACCUAUCUCUGUAUGACCUUGAAAGCAUACCUACCAUGACCAUAAGUUUGAUUGUUAUAGAUGUCUAAGUUAAGGCAUUCCUAAGGUAUAUAGGUUGGUUUAAUUCAGGAGUGCCUUCCACAGUCCAGUGUCUCUCAGCAGCUGUAGUUUGUUCAUUAGCAUUCAAAAAAAUCAAAAUUAACAAGUACCAUAUAACUCCUUGUGUUAUAAUAUUUCCCAUCUUUUCAAGAUUUAUUCUUUUUUAUUACUUCUUUCUUUAAAGACUAUUUUUUAAAACUGCUUAUUUUUUUAUGACUGUAUUCUUUUCUUUAUUUUUCUUAAACUUAAGCAUACUGUUAAACACACUGUAACCUGUUUAGAGGUUUUGUCUGUCUGAACCUGCUUUACUGUGUAUCUGUAACCUUUUCUGUCUGCAUGAGCAAAACCUUAAACCAUUGAGUAGCUUAGCUCAUGGUUCACUGGUGGCUCAAGCCUGCAUGUAGUGUCCACGAGAUGCAUUUCUGUACCAUGUGAGAGGCUGCAGGACUAAGGAGCCGUGUUUGACUCCAUUUUUGUAUGUUUGGAAACUUUUUUAAAGCUGUCUCAGGUCUUAUGUAGAAAUAUGUGCCUGGAGGUUGAGCAUCAUUUAUAGUGAGACUUUCUCUGUCCCUGCUGUCAAAUCACAACAUGGAUACUUAUUAUUUAUUAUGGAAGCUCACCCUAUAGCUUAGGCCUGUUUCUAACUAGUUCUUAUAACAAAUUAACCCAAAUACUUUAAUCUAAUGUCUUACUUAGGGUUUACUGUUGCUGUGAAGAGACACCAUGACCAUAUAUUUCUUAUAAAGAAAGUAUUUAACUAAGGGAUGCUCGCUUACAGUUUCAGAGGUUCAGUCCAUUAUGAUCAUGAAUGGGAGCAUGGCAGCAUGUUGGCAGACAUAGUGCUGGAGCUGUUAGUCCUACAUCUUGCAGGAAACAGGAAAGUGACUGACUGUCACAUGGGGGAAGCUUGAGAAAAAGAGACCUCACAGCCUGCCCUCACAAUAACACACUUCUGCCAACAAGGCCACACCUCCAAACAGUGCCACUCCCUUUGGGGGCCAUUUUCUUUCAAACCAUGGCAUCUAUGUUCUGUUUCAUUUGGUUUGUCAAGACAGGGUUUCUCUGUGUAGCCCUGCCUGUCCUGGAACUUAAUCUGUAGACUAGGCUGGCCUCCAACUCAGAGAUCUCUCUGCCUCUGCCUCUUGAGUGUUGGGAUUAAAGGCGUGCACCACCAGGCCUGGCUCUCUUUGUUUUAUGAGACAGCUUUUCACUGUGAGACCUGACAUAUGUGGGCUUCAUGGAAUCGGUUGUUUGUCGGGCACUGUCUGGACACCCUCAGGCCCUGGUGACAAUGUGGAGCUGGUGCCACUGGCUUAGUUUUCCAACAGCCUCCUUCUGUGUACUUCAGAUCACUCUCCUCACACUUGGCCUUGAUGCUCACACUGGCACAGCAGCCUGCACCAUCCCAGUCCCCAGCAGUGGGCUUCGGACCAAUCACUGUCACUCCAGAGUCGUCACAUACAAGAUGCAACAUGAUCUCCCUCACGGAUGCCUUCAGAGAGUCCUGUGUGAAAUUCCCACUGGGCAACCAUGACCUUGUCAUCAGUCAUGUUUCUUGACUCUAGCUACAAAGAAACUCAGUCUGCCUCAGCCUCUGAUCCCACAGCACAGUAAUGCUGACCUAGGAGCUCAAGGAAGCCAUGGAUAGGACAAAACACUGAGCCUGUCUUUUCUAUGACAGUGAGUCCAUGCUGUGUCCUACAUUGGGCUGCUGUCUGCCCUCCAUGUUCAUUACCAUUGUACAGAGUACACAUGUGCCUCACAUGGACUUCAGAGGCUCCUGGUUUUACUUGAAAACCUCACAGGACACCAGCCUGUUGGAGUCCUUGCAGACGGGGUCCUGAAAUGUGGUGGCAGAGGUGACACACAUCCACUGUUGUCCCCUCAGACUGAAAAGUGCUGAGCACUGGGACACUCUUCUCACCCUCACUGUCCAGUGUGCCAGGCUUGCACAUGAGGAGAGCAGAAUGCAUGCCUGGAGCCCUUGAAGGUCAGAAGAGAUGUCAGAUCCCCUGGAGUUUUGUGUGGUUGUGAACCACCAUGUGGGUGCUGAGAACUGAGCCCAGGUCCUCUACAGGACAGGUGCUCUGAACCACACAGCCAACUCUCCAGUCAUUCCAAAUUAAUUUUUAAAUAAUUAUCUUUUUUGUUGUUGUUGUUUGUUUCUUUUUGUUUUUGGAGAAAGGGUUUCCCCGUGUAGUCCUGGCUGUCCCGGAACUCACUCUGUAGACCAGGCUGGCCUGGAGCUCAAGAGAUCCUCCUGCCUCUGCCUCCUGAAUGCUGGGAUUAAAGGCGUGCCCUACCCCUGCCCGCUUUAAAUAACUAUCUUAUUGUGUGUUAACAGAAACAAUAUUUUGUCUGAGAAAUAACUAUUUUGCAAAACAAGACAACAGAGCAAGAAGAAUGCAUUUUUUUACACUUCAUAUUUUCCCACGUCCUCUUUUGUCCAUUUUGUUUGAAGAUCACAGCACUCUCCCAUCUACUUUCACAUUUAACCAUCAUUUGGUUGAAAUUUAUGGGGAAACAUAAACUUCAUGGCACUGCACAAGAGCUGUUGAAGGAACCAGGCUGACAUCAUAACAGGCUGUCAGUCUUCUCUCAGAGAUCAGGCCUCCAGUUCAGUUUCUUGAGACUUGAGCAAGCAGUUUCUGGGAGGGCCGUGAACAAAAGACAUAGUCCUUGCAGUAGCGCCCUUUCUGUACGUACUCUGACUGCUCAAGGUUCAGCCAGGUGUUUACUGUCUGGGACCCCUCACCAACUUAGAGCUACAUGAAUGGUUCAAUGUGAAAAUGCCAGGCCAGCCAGCCUCCAUGGCAGCUCAAGGACAGAGUCUGGGCCACUGAGUCAGCCCCCAUAGUCAGUUCGUGCCAGGCCAGCCAGCCCCCAUGGCAGCUCAAGGACAAAGCCCGGGAUUUGUCCAGAUCUGCCCAAAAAUGAUAACUGUAACCCCCAACCAAUAAAUUCAAAGGUUACACACCCUCGCUCAAAUCAUAUGACACCAAGACUCGUACCACCCUGUUUGUGUAUUUUCCCUUUAAAAAACCCCUCACCCUGAGAGCUUAGGGCCGUCCUCCUCCACCCACUGUGUUGGAUGUUAGACACGGACCAAGCCCGGGCUUGUUAUCAAUAAACUCUUGUGUGUUUUGCAUCAGA